rnacentral:misc_RNA from 1 species
CGGCUGGCUGGUGCGGCGCGGGCCCUGGUGCCGUGUGUGAGGGGUGGUGUGGUGACCGGUGGACAGAGUGGUGCUGGUGACGCUCGGAUACGACCUGGGCACUGCAGAGGAGAACAUCUGCUUCACUUAACGUCUUUCUUGGUCGGUGAAUGGCGGCCGUAUGACGUCAUGCCGCUAGCCAGCUGUCGCUGCUGACGUCAUGCUGAAGACCAAUGACCCGCUGUGCCCUCUGGGGUUCUACCCGCAGGUCCGCUGGCCAACCCGCUGCAAGCGCUGCUACAGGGAGUACAGCGAGCACAAGCAGAAGAGACCGGACAGUUCGACCAGUGGCCUUCGAAAGGACCGAACCACCGGCUCUUCUCCGUCCCUAAACACAGCCAAAGUUCUUGGCUCAGGUCCAUUGUCAGAUUUUGCUGACUAUGAGACGAGGUUGAAAAACUUCUUUGCCAGAAGGGAUGAGGCGGCCUCGAAGACCGAGACGGCAGCGGCAGCGUCCCGGUCCCUGCUGGCAGAAGAGGCGGCGAAAAACUACACCACCAAGUCAGCAGCCAGUCCUCUAUCCAGGAGACUGGGGGCGUACAGCGGCCUGAAGGCAUCCUCCUGGUCCGCCCACGACCUGCGUACUGUCGGAACUGACGACGACAGCGACACGGAGACCGUCAAGGAUAAGGAUGACGAUUUCAUGAGUGUAACCAGUCACGACGACGACACGUUCGCUUCAGCGCUGACAGCCCAGUCGCAGGCGCCACCGGUGCCGCCGAGGGUGACCGAGUCGCCGGCGGUGGCCGUCUCCGCUCCCCAGUCCUCCGCCUCCGCCGCGCCGCGCAAGAAGCUCUCCGUCCGAGAGGUGAAGACGGACAACCCCAGCAACGGCGUCAGCGCCGACGUCGCCUUCAUCAUCAAGCUGAAGAACGCCAAGAAGCCGGAGGAUGAUGACGACAUGAGCACGAUGGCGCCGUCGGAGGCCUCGGUAUGGACGGAUGCCACCGGUGGCACGGACACAACCGACACGACUCUCGUCGACGAGAAGAACCAGCAGCUGGAGAAGACGGUGUCCUCGCUGCAGAAGGAGCUUGACAAGUUCAAGAAGAAGGUCGACAGGCUCAACAAGGAGAAGAAGGAACUCAUGGAUAAACAAACGGCGGCCGUGAAAAAGUCGAAGUCUCAGUCGGAGGUGCUGAAACUGCAGCAGAAGAUGCACGAGCUGACAUCGUCCAAUGAAGAUCUCCUUGACGACAAGAAGAGCCUGGAACUGGAGGUGCUUGAAUUGAACAGGGAGCUCGGACUGCGCCCGUUGCCAGCGGAGGUGGACAAGACGCUGACAGACUUGCGGAUGCGCCUUUCGAAGGCAGAGAGUUUGGUAGAGGACCUCCAAGAAGAGAACGAAGAGCUGAAGGGACAGGUGAAAGACAUGGAGGAGGAAAUGGAAGAGAUACAUGAUAACUUUCGGGAAGAUCAAGCAGAAGAGUACCAUGAUCUCAAGCGGGAGCUGGAGCAAGCGAACAAAAAUUGCAGGAUUAUCCAAUUUAAACUAAGAAAAGCAGAGCGAAGCAAUGACGAGCUGAUUGGACAAAAGACGGCACUCGAAGAACAGCUAAAGAACUUGCAGAGUUCGGGAGCUGGAAAUUCCGAGAAGCUAGAAAAUGAGUUGAAGGUGGCGCAAGAAGUAUCGAAGAAACUGGGAGAAGAGGUAGAAAUGCUUCGAAAAAAGACAAAUUCUCUGGACGUUAGGCCACCCAUCAAAAGACAGUCUUCCGCUAGCGACGAGAACAAGCUGCUGCGGGACCUGCAGGACACGCUGGAGCGCGAGGCUGACCUCAAAGAGCAGAUGAAGUUCGCCGAGGAGGAGGCGGCGCAGCUCCGUAAGAAGCUCGUCAGGGUGGAGGAGGAGAACGAGAGUCUGGCCAUCCAGCUCAAGAAAAUGGCCAAGAAGGGCCGCCGACCGGCCAGCGGCGGCAGUCUGGACGGCCCCAGCUCCGUCUCGCACGACCGGGAUGAGGGCAUCUCGGAGGACAUCGAGGAGCUGUCCCCGCAGGAGCUCAAGAUACAGCUCGAGCUCAAUGAGAGAGAGACCAGCUCUCUUCGAAAGAAGGUGGACAACGUGGAGAGUGAGAACGAGCGGCUGCAGCGCCAGGUCAAGGAGCUCCAGGAGCGCAUGAGCCACGGCAGCAAGGCCACCAUUCCCGAGAUCAGCAUCAGCGACCCCAACGCCUACUAUGAACAGAAGAUCAAUGUUUUGGAGGAGGAGAUGAACGAGCUGCGGAAGAAGCUGAUAGACAAGGAGAGGGAGAACGAUUCCCUGAAGACCGAGGCCGAGAUGGGGCGGAGCAAGAAGGGUGGUAAGGUGAUCUACGCACGCAGCAGAUCGCUGGACAUCAAUGAGCUGCAGACGUCCGAUCUGCGACGGCAGCUGCAGCUGGCCGAACAGGAGGCCCAGCAGCUGCGCUCCAAGAACUCGGAGCUGGAGCGCGAGGCUGCCGACGCGGCCGUCGAGAGCCGCCGGCUGUCUGCCCGGCUGGCCAAGCGACCGGCCGCCACCGGCCCGGAGAAGCUGGCCAUGGAGAAGGCCGAGCUGGAGGAGCGUCUGAGCCGCGCCGAGCGCAGGCUCUCCGAGAAGGAGGCCACUAUCGGCGAGCUGCGGCGCGCUGUGAAAGAGGCGGCCUCUGGCGGCGACCAGAGCAGACUGAGCCCGAGCCGGUCGCCGCGAGAGGGCCGCCGCGCCGAGCGAAACAGUGAGGUGGAUGUGGAGGGACUGCGGCGAGAAAAGGACGCCCUGCAGAGUGAAAUGAAGAGUAAAGAGCGAGAACUCAGUGCGGCGAAAAAGAAAGUCAGUGAACUGUCGAGUGAGAAAGAGCGGUUGAGUGAUAUGGUGCGCAAGAUGAAAGACAUUCCUAAUUUGAAGACGCGUAUUCCGAAAAAGGUGACGGACUUGACCCCAAAGAAUACGUUGAAGAAGUGGGUAGAGGAGCUGGAGGACGAAAUAGCUGUUUGCGCUAUUCAGCUGAAGAAUAAUUCCAAUAAUGGUCAAGCUGCAAGUAGUUUUGGAAAAUCGAAGGAUGUAUUAGCACUUGAAGAGAAGGUAAAAGAGCUAACUACUUCCAUUGAUGAUUAUAAAAAGAACGUAACAAAGCUUGAAAGGGAAAAGGAAGACCUUGAAAUUGCUAAAAACGAGGCAGAAUCGGAAAAACUAGAAGCAGAAAAAGCAAAACAAAAGGCUGAAAAGGAGAAGACCAAAGUAGAAAAGGAGAAGAAACGUCUGGAGACCGAGUCAAGCUCUUCGUCAAAGGCGAUAGCGGACCAGACGAAAGCGCUCAGAACUCAGGUAGACAAGGUGUCAAAGGAGCUGGAGGAGGAGAAAAGUCAGCUCUCGUCGCUUAAACAGCAGCUUGAUCUCAAGGAACGCCAGCUGCAGAGGGCCAAGAAGGGGGAGGAAGCCAAGGACACUACUGAGAAAGAGCUCGCUGAUAAGGUUUUGGAGCUGACGGCCGCGGAAACAAAACUCCGAUCAAGCGACUCUAAGCUGAAGACUGCGGAGAAACAAGCAAAGGAGCUGCAAGAGAAACUCGAACUCACCAACUCUCAGCUGGCUGAAGCUCAGGAGCGGCUCCAGCAGCUCGAUACCAACCAGCGCAGCCUCUCCUCGCACUGGCUGACCGAGCGCGAGGACCUCAAGACCUCCGUGGACCGGCUCCAGGCACGGGUCACCGAGCUCGAGAAGACCAACGCAGAGAAACAGAAACGCAUCAAGGAGCUGGAGGAGAGCAAGGGCAAGGUAUCUUCUACAGCUGGAGGUGCUUCCAUUGCCAAAAUCGACGCCCUGCAGAAAGACAAGGCCAAAUUGGAGAAGCAGCUGAAAGAAUUCGAGGAAAAAAUCACUCAGCACGAGAAGAAGCAGCAUGCCGCCGAGGAGAAGGCAAGAAAACUGGAACAGCAGUACAAGAAGGAGAAGGAGGAGUGGGAAACUCAGCGGAAGUCAUCCCUCUCUGAUGGGACUUCCUCCAAAGAGCGAGUUGAAAAGUUGGAGGCAAACCUGGCUGAUCAAAUGCAGGAGUACGAGGAUCUCACACGAAAAUACGAACUCCUUGAAGAGGACUAUGUCGUCAUCAAGGCACAAAUGGUCAUGGAAAAGGAGCAAAUAGAAGGGGAGUUUACCACGCUGAAGCACGAGUAUGACACAGCCCAGCGGGAGCUGCGUACGCUGCGAGAGACCUACAACGCCAAACAGGAUCAGUGGAUCAAGGAUAAGCUCGACAUGGAGGAAAAGAUGAAGGAAGCGGACGAGAAGCUGAACCGCUCCGGGGGCGAGGCGUGGCGGCUGGAGAAGACGCGUCUCCAGGACCAGAUCAGCGACAAGGAGACAGAGAUCGCCCGCCUGAAAAAGGCCGAGGAGUUCUACAUGGACGAGAUCAGCUCCAUCAAACGAGAGGGUGACGAAAUGCGACGAAAGCUGGACGACUACAAUAUGGUCAGCAAGAUUCAGCGAAACCUCUCGGUGGACAACUCACACCUGGAAAAGGAAAUACGCGACCUCAAAACCAGGAUCGUUUCGGAGGAGAAGGCCCAUCGACAGGAAGUCAGCCACCUCAAAAUCAAACACGACUCCGGCCUGGCCAUCAUGAAGGACGAGCUUCACAGUCUCAACCAGCAGACCAGCAAGUACAAGCGGGAGCGGGACACCUACAAGACGAUGCUGGAGGGCGCUCAGAGGACCAUCGGUGACCUGAAGCGGAAGAGCCGCGCCCAGGAUGACGGAGGCGAUGCCGUCGAUUCCGCUGACCUGGCGGAGACGAACCAGCGCGUGCGGGAGCUGACCCUGCAGCUGACCAGUCUCGAGGACCAGCUGUCAGCCGCUCGUCUCGAGGCCAGCAAGCUCAGGACCGAGGCCACCACCGAGCGGUCCUCCUGGGAGAUUCGCGUCCACGACCUGCAGACCAAAAUCAACGAGCUGGAGGAGGACAGGAUCAUGUCGUCGGGUCACGCGCGUAUCUCCGGUAUACGAGCGCGCAUGGAGCUGGCCUGGAGCAAGGAGCGGGCUGAGCAUCAGAGGCUGAUCCAGGACACCUCAAAACUGGCUGAGGAGCUGAAAAACACCCUACAUGAGGUGGAGAGGCAGCUCGAAAACGAACGGGCCGAAUCGAAGCGGAAAGUGGAGCAGGUGAAGCGGUCAAUGGAGGAUGAGACUGUAGAUUCCAAGAGGAAAGCGAAGGAGCUGAACGAGGACCUGCUCGAGCUGCGGGACGCGCAUGCCAAGCUGCGCGAGAGCCACCGGCGGGUGGCGCGCGACAAGGAGAGAGCCGACCGCGAGCGCGAGGAGCUGCUGCAGCGCGUGCAGCACCUGCACAAGGUGGAGGCAGAGGAGGAGAGGAAGAUCACCCGACUGGUGGAACAGCUAGAGGAGCAGCUAGCGGUGCUGCACCAGGCCACCGAGCGCAUGGAGAAGCGACGCUCCGCUUCGCCAGCACCCGCCAAAGCCAGCCAGGUCGGAAAGGUGAACUCCCUGGCACCAUCAGUGGCAAAAGGUGCCAAAGCUGGCGGGCCUGCGAGACCUCCAGAGCCGGACAGGGCAGCGCACGAGUUUCAGGCGGCGGUGAAAGACAUCACGGCCAUGAUUGACGAGCUGCGGCUGACCCACUCGACCCUGAUGGAGGAGAAGGAGCGCGGCCGCUCCAAAGGCAUCCGCCAGCAAAACUACCGACGGUCGGCCUCGAUGGGCGACACGCUGUCCGAGGAGGGCUCGGAGACCCCCCGUCGCGCCGGCCGCUCGGCCUACCCCGCCCCGCCGGCCUCGCUGGUUUUGUCGGCACAGCGGCGCGGUGCCAGCCUGGGACGCAAGUCGCUCUCCAUGGGCCUGCGCGGCGACUCCCAGGACUCGAUCUACGAGCACGAUGAGGGCUCGAUGGAGUCCCUGGAUCCCUACACGUACACCACUCUGCCCAGGAAGAAACUGGAGCGUGACAUCAGCAUUGACCGCGUGUCGACUGGAUCCACACAGAGUGAAAUUAUCUCCGGGGUGAACCCCAUCAAGAAAAAGAAGGGGCUCAAGUCCCUACUGAAGGGUCUGGGACGUUCGAAAAGUAUCGAAGACUCGGACACGGGACAGACUAUCGCCGGAGCCGGACUGCAGGCAAUGGCCACCGGAAUGCAGGGCUCCGGAUCGGAUCUAUCCGACAUUAGCGCCAGCAUUCAGGAGAAGGAGAAAAAGGGGCUCAAGGGAAAGUUCAGCAAGCUGUUCAAGACGCCGCCACCGUCCCGGUCGCAGAGGUGUUAUGUGUCCCCUACCUGGCAUCGCAGCUUACACAAUGGCUUAGACCAGAUAGACGAGCAUUGAACGCGGCCCACGGGACAGCGCCAGUGCCACGGCGGCCCGGGACGCACCCCCGGCGGCUCCUGCACGACGCAGCAAGGCCUCGCCGAGCCCGGAGACGCGGCCCAAGAAUCCACUGAACGCCAGGGCCCCUCCGGCGCCGGCUAUCCAGAUCAACAGCCAACCGUUCACCCGCGCACCGCUCGGCGUUCCCGGAAGUGCCCUGAGCGCGUCGCGAUCGUCCCCGACCGGAGACGCCAGGACGGCAGCUCCCAAACCGUCCCUGGGUCCAGCCUCCUUCAGCCAAGCGCGCGCCAUGUUCCAGUCGUGAUCGCAGUGGGGUCACAGCAGCAAAGGGACAGUGUCAGUGUGGAGCCGCGGCCUCCUGGCAGACUCUGAGGUUCGAGUGGCCGCCUGGACAUGAGGCUGUCGUUGCCUUGCCACGUCGCGGUUCCCGAGUGAACGUGUUGCAGUUGUCGCAGGUGAAAGUUAUGCCGCAGAGAUUUGGCAGAAAAUGAGGACUGUGCGCGUACCAGACAUCAGUGUCUGUCAGUGAUGGUUGGUCGCAAUGUUUCCGACCGUGCGAUUGUUACUUGGUGCCCGUUAUUGGACAAUGUUGCAUAAGGAAACAACACGUCCCGUACUGAAUUGGUUAUCAUUUGUAGCUACCCAAACAAACCCAAACAUGCGUCAUUCAGACCGAGUGAGGAGCUCUGGAUUGUUCUCCCUCCAGCCGGCUGCCACGCGUAGCUAUUGCCAGGUGUGGAGUAUGAUGCACGACAACACGAUGUAUGAUGAUAUGAUGAUGUAGCAGAGACGCGGGCAGUCGCAGCUCUCGGGCAUCUCUCGUAUGUUCCCCCGCCGCUCCCGACACCGCUGCUCAACUGGAGGGACGAGCGACGACGGCAUGCCGACCAACAUGUUCGCGACCCGGCCCCACAGACUAGUGCCCCUCUGCGGCGGCCAGUCGACGCAGCGAGGCGACCCGUACAAGGGUGGGAUAUAGGCAAGGGUGGCUGUCAUCAGUGCCAAAUGAAUGAAUGCAAUGUCGGCAAGGGGCUGAUGCUCGGUGCUGGAACAUUAGGGAAAGUGUAAUGAAUAGGAAACGGCAUCUGAAUCUGCUGCCCAGCGCGGUAUGUGGAUCUUAAUACACAGCUACUAUGUUUCCCUACA